rnacentral:rRNA from 1 species
UAGUUUAAGGAAAUAAUCUUAAAUGUAUUCUGCCCAAUGAUUGAUUUUUUAAAUGGCCGCAGUACCUUGACUGUGCUAAGGUAGCAUAAUCAAUUGGCUUCUAAUUAAAGUCUGGAAUGAAAGGAAAAAUGAAGUAAUUCUGUCUUAAAAAAUUUUUUUUAAAUUUAUUUAAAUGAUGAAAAUAUCAUUUUUUAGAAAAAAGACGAGAAGACCCUUAGAGUUUUUAUUAUUUUUUUUGUUGGGGCGACAAGUAAACAUUUAAACUUUACUAAUAUUUUUAAAUCGAUUUUAAUAAUAAGAUUAAUUAAACUACCUUAGGGAUAACAGCAUUAUAUUAUAUAUGAUUGUGACCUCGAUGUUGGACUAGGAACUUUAUGGCUAGCCGUCAUAAAAGAUUUGUUCUGUUCGAACAAUUUAUCCUAC